AGCAAUUCCUUGUAGAAACUGAUCGCAGAAUGGUCACAGAGCUGGAUCGAAUGGCAACGAAGAUGGUUCAAAGAGCAUAUAUGUGUGACCUAAAGGACUGCUGCCAGAGGGCAAUCAAUGCCUGCCUGGAUGAUUCAGUAAGACAAGGACUCAUUAGGGAUGCAGCAAUUCUACUGCUGCCUUCCAUUUUCAGAGAGGACUCAUCCUUUCUAUACACUCUACUGGAGGAGCCAAGCGUGCCUACUCCAGCAAUCAUGCUCCAUAACACACACUUUAUUUUGUUUUUGCUGUCCAGUACCCAAAGGAACUGAGAAAAACUCUUAUUUUCAUUGAAAGAUUUGUGUUGGGGAUCAAGGACCACAGUGUUGUACCCAUUUCAGUGAAGAGACUAUACAACUGUGUCGGAAGUGGGGAGUAGUGAGUAGAUGUGUUGCAGCAUGGGAUUUCAGGCUUUAUGUUCUUGUUAAUGGUCAAAUUCCUGCUGCUGCCCUUUGUUUGUACAUAUUGAUAAAAAAAAUAUCCCUUAUUUAAUACAUAUUUUGGACCAAUACAUUUUGUUUGAUUUUGGCAUAGUGACGUCUCUAGAUUUCCAUUAUUGUUACAAUACGUAACAUUUUGAGUACUUGUUACAUAACACUGAAAAGUAUUUCAACAUUAUUUAAAUCAAUGUGAAAACUUUGUGGGAU